GAGCGAGUAGUCGCGGGGCGGCGAGGGGCUCAGGCGGGGUGGCGUUUUUAGUUCGCACCCUGCCACACAGUUUCUCCGGGCAAAGAGGGAGAGAGGGAGGCAGUGCAGAGGGAGGGCGGGGAAGCCUCUAUUUCCCUGCCGGUUUGGGGAACGCCUCCCCCUUCCUCCUUCCCUCCCUCACUGUCGUCUCCCGGCUUCUCCCCGGGGCUCACCUGUUUAUUUCCAUCACGCGGAGCUCAUAGUUUUGUGUUGGCGUGAGAGGCCGUUUCUUUAUUAGAGACGUUAUUGGGGGGGGGGGCGGUCUUCGCUGCUACCUUUUAUGCCGGACCACGUCGGUUUGCAAGGAGGAGAGGGGAGGGGACUUGGAGGAGACUUGCGGCUCCGACCCUGGGCCUUCUCCCUGCCUUCCCAGGCGAGGAGUCCGCCUUGCCCGCGCGCCAGCUGCCACCCUCCUGGAGAAGGACCACACCUCUGCUGAAUCGCACUCGGGAAGAGGGCUGCUCCACCUUCCAGGCUGUGUGACUGCUACCAGAAGGGGAGCCUGAUCGACUGGCUGCCCUGGCUCAGUUAUCACAGUGCUGAUGCUGUCCAUUCUAAAGGUACAGUACUGUGAUAACUGAAGGAUGGCAGCCAUCUUGCCGCCUUGCAUCGGAGGAGCCACCUGGCACCAGGAGCGCACAAGGACCACCGGCAGCAUCUGGAGCAGGUGGCUGUGGCCCAACUCUUCACUGCGUGAGCCCAUGGGAUCACCCUCCUAGGGCGUGGAGAAUAUAACUCCCAGCUGCUGUGCCUCGUUUUGUGUGGAGCUGAAGCAUGUGGCCAUUGGCACAGUGGCUGAAGAUGGCCUGUGCUGAGAUCUUUGAGUCUUUAGGAGGCUGGUGUUGACUAAGGACUAAUUGUGAAUUUAAAAGAAAAUAUAUAUUUACUUACUUUUAUUGGAAAAGGCAGAUUUACAGAGACAAGGUGAGACAGAAAGAUCUUCCAUGUGUUGGUUCACUCCCCAAGUAGUCACAAUGCUGGAGCUGAGCUGAUCCAAAGCCAAGAGCCUCCAGGUCUCCCACACAGGUACAGGGUCCCAAGGCUUUAUGCCAUCCUUUGCUGCUCUUUCAGGUCACAAGCAGGUAGCUAAAAGAGAAGUAGAGCAUUCAGGACACGAACCAGUACCCAUCUGGGAUACUGACACUUGCAGGCAGAGGAUUAGCCAGUUGAGCCAUUGUGCCAGGCCCUGGGGGAUACAUUUUAUAAAUGUGAAAGGUCACCCAGCUAUAAUAGCUCAGCUCUUGUCACCACACUACUCAGUGUUCAAAACUCCCUCCAGUUUAAACCAUGAGAAAUAGCAUCCUGUAUGUUGAUGCUACUGGACUGUUAAUGUAUGAAUAAAAUCACAUCUUUUGUGUUUCAGGAAAAGAGAAUGCCAUUUUCUAUGUCCUUCAGGAUAUUUAAAAUCUAGUCUAAUUCAAAAACUAAGUGUUGAAUGCCUGUGCUAUUGCUAUUGCUAUCACCUUUUCAUGGGAAGUGAAGUGUGAGUAGUUUCUACUAAGUAAGUAAGGAUCACCCUUCAGUAAUGGCUGGCACAUUACUGAUUUCAGGGAUGUGCAGAUGUAAAUACCAAGUCAGUGUCACAUUUACAUGAAGGGUGGGGAACGCUCAUCUUGAGCUUACAUCCUACUCUGCAUAGCCCACUGUGGUAGGAGGUGGGGUUAUUUCCACAGAGUCCCGUGUUCCCACUGCCAGUCCUUCUUCCUUCCAGACGCUGCAGGACACACGGCACACAGAGUGCGUGACUUUGUUGUGUGUUAGAUUACAAUCCCCUGCAGGACCCACAGAGGUAACGUGUGUUAGGUUCCCUGUCUGAACAAGGACGUGCUAUCUCUUUCUAGGCUCCUGUCCGUAGAGAGCCUUGUGCAGUGCAUGGCUGAUGGAUGGAGGGAGCCAGUGCAGUGCUGCAUGUGCCUUGAACAUACAGAUGGCAGGGUGUGCUUGAACUUCCCCAUCAGAGACACAACAGGAGGACCAGGGGAAACUGUAUGUGUGCAUACUUUUUAAA